rnacentral:misc_RNA from 1 species
AUCUCAUCUACUGUAAGACACGGCUCCUUCUUGCACAAAACUAAGAAGAAACAAAAGUUCUCACCAAGUAAAUUAAUCAUCUCUAGAACCUAAAGUCUUCUGCUUAAGAUCUUCAAUUUUAGCAGCAAACUCAUCUCUAUUCUUCUUGAAUAGUAGAUAACGGGCGGUGAACCAGAGAGCAUAGCCAAGACCCACCAAUUCCAUCAACUUAGGAACCAAAGGAACAGAAUCGAUGGCUCCAACAAUUGAGGUUGUCAACCAAAGAGCAGUGAGAGCAACAGCACCAAAUAGGAUAAUUGAAGAGGGAUCUUUAGGAUCAUACUUAAUAUUUAGCGUGUCAAAGAACUUGGACAAUUGCGAUUCGAACUCCAAAGCAGAAUCUUCUAUUGGUGCUUCAGCUUGAACAGCAGAAUCUUCUAUUGGUGCUUCAGCUUGAAC